rnacentral:rRNA from 1 species
UACGGGGGGGGCAAGCGUUGUUCGGAAUUACUGGGCGUAAAGGGCGCGUAGGCGGGGAGGUAAGUCGGGUGUGAAAUCCCUCGGCCCAACCGAGGAACUGCGCCCGAGACUGCUUCUCUUGAGUCCCGGAGAGGAAGAUGGAAUUCCCGGUGUAGCGGUGAAAUGUGUAGAGAUCGGGAGGAACACCGGUGGCGAAGGCGGUCUUCUGGACGGUGACUGACGCUGAGGCGCGAAAGCGUGGGGAGCAAACGGG